rnacentral:lncRNA from 1 species
UUUGGAGUGUUACAGUCAAGCUAUCCAGAAAACAUAGGAUGCAUGCAUAAGUAUACUUGUCUAAAUGGGAUAACUAGAAAAUUUGUGUAAACCAACAUGAAUGAUGCAUUGCCUGAAUGAAUGAUAUGAUUUUGAUGAUGUUGUUAUGAUGAUGGAAAUUGUGUCAUAUGUAUAUGUAUGAGAAAGUCGAGUCAGAGGCCCUACAACCCCUCCCCCUUACCGAGGUGGAGCUUAUAACGGAA